GACGAACGCUGGCGGCGUGCCUAAUACAUGCAAGUUGAGCGCUGAAGGUUGGUACUUGUACCAACUGGAUGAGCAGCGAGCGGGUGAGUAACGCGUGGGGAAUCUGCCUUUGAGCGGGGGACAACAUUUGGAAACGAAUGCUAAUACCGCAUAAAAACUUUAAACACAAGUUUUAAGUUUGAAAGAUGCAAUUGCAUCACUCAAAGAUUAUCCCGCGUUGUAUUAGCUAGUUGGUGAGGUAAAGGCUCACCAAGGCGAUGAUACAUAGCCGACCUGAGAGGGUGAUCGGCCACAUUGGGACUGAGACACGGCCCAAAAUCCUAAGGGAGGCAGCAGUAGGGAAUCUUCGGCAAUGGACGAAAGUCUGACCGAGCAACGCCGCGUGAGUGAAGAAGGGUUUCGGAUCGUAAAACUCUGUUGGUAGAGAAGAACGUUGGUGAGAGUGGAAAGCUCAUAAAGUGACGGUAACUACCCAGAAAGGGACGGCUAACUACGUG
rnacentral:rRNA from 1 species